rnacentral:rRNA from 1 species
UACGUAGGGUGCAAGCGUUGUCCGGAAUUAUUGGGCGUAAAGGGCUCGUAGGCGGUCUGUUGCGUCAGGAGUGAAAACUCGGGGCUUAACCCCGAGCCUGCUUCUGAUACGGGGCAGACUAGAGGUAUGCAGGGGAGAACGGAAUUCCUGGUGUAGCGGUGAAAUGCGCAGAUAUCAGGAGGAACACCGGUGGCGAAGGCGGUUCUCUGGGCAUUACCUGACGCUGAGGAGCGAAAGUGUGGGGAGCGAACAGG